rnacentral:rRNA from 1 species
GACAGAGGGUGCAACCGUUGUUCGGAAUUACUGGGCGUAAAGCGUGUGUAGGCGGCCAAGCAAGUCGGAUGUGAAAGCCCAGGGCUCAACCCUGGAAGUGCACUCGAUACUGCCUGGCUUGGGUAUCGGAGAGGUUGGUGGAAUUCUCGGUGUAGAGGUGAAAUUCGUAGAUAUCGAGAGGAACACCGGUGGCGAAGGCGGCCAACUGGACGAAUACUGACGCUGAGACACGAAAGCGUGGGGAGCAAACAGG